rnacentral:lncRNA from 1 species
UUGUUCCACUCUAGUGCCUUGGUCUGCAACCAGCAACCACGUAACUCUCGUUAGCCCUAAUUCUGAAUGAAGAAUCAUUGGUUAAUGGAGGAAGAUGGUGUAGUUCAUGCUAGUUCUGAAAUCAAUUUAAUCAACAAUGAAGACACCGUACUCUGAAACAAUACAUUCAUUGUCUUUUUAACCCUACAAAUCUUCGACAACCACAUGUUUCCGCCGCCUCUCCAUCGUACCUGACUCAACACAACCACCGUCACAAGAAUUACCACAAUUCGUCAUCACUGUUCCCUCAGGCUCUCCUCAAAAGCGCUCAAUUUAUUGGGGUUGCAUAAGUAUUCGAGUGGGUCGGAGAUGUACAAAAAGGCACUACAAGCUGUAUAUUUAACUGCAAUUUGGGGCAUUUGGAAGGCGCGAAACAAGGCGGUGUUUAACAAUGUUCAGGCACAGCUCCAAAAGACUAUGAGCUGACAUAAAAGCUCUUAGCAUAAGCAUUAGGAAGGGAGGGUGGGUAACAGAUUGAUCGCGUUUAUCUUAGUUCUCCUUAUUGUUUUGUUGUACUUGAUCAUGAAAGGAAGUGGACGUAUGUGUUGAGGAAGGAAGGGCUACCUGAUGUUGUUUACACUUUAAUUGGAGCUGGAGCAGCAGAAGUUGCUAUUGAUGCUGCUAAUAUAUUAAAAUGAGCCCUUACCAGAGGUGAAUUGCAGGUGGCAAUGUAUACACUUGAUAAAUACCGAAAACAUAUUGUAUAAUAUCCAGCGUUAGAGAGAUAUCCAGCGUUAGAGAGACGGUUCCAGCCAGUUAAGGUACCUGAGCCUUCUUUCUUUGUUUAUAGUUAAGUGAUAAAGUUGGUGGGUUGGGCAUGUUGGGUAAGAGGUCGAAAGCAGGGUUGGCAACUCGUGUUUGGUUUAGGUCGGUAGGUCUGUAUAACCCAAACCCACCUCCCACUUGAGUAGUUAAUCUUGUCGAAAAGGUGAACUCUAACCUGGUUAAAUGGUUUAGCUUUGUGGAGCCAUUUACAAUCCGUUUGUAUGGCUAGUGUCAUUGGCAUAGUGAUAUCCUUUUGUAAUUUAUAGUGAGAUACCAAACUCAACCCGGUAGCUUUGUUUAAUAAGCGUGAAGCACUAAGCCGUUUAGGUCCCAAAAGCAAAAGCGAGAGCUAUAUCUUAUUUUUAUUGAAACCCAAAAGAUAUGGUACCAAACUCAGCUAUAUCUUAUUUUUAUUUCUCACAUAUCUAUGUCAAAUCAAAAUCGAAAGGAUGAAUUUGGGUAUUUAAAAAUGUUAUUUUUUCAGAAAGGGCCCCAAUUUUUUUUUUCCGGCUUUGGGCCUCCAAACAGGUUGAGCCGACCAUGUUGGUAAGACGGUGAAUAUACUUGAGAUGCAUACUGGUUCAUGUUGGUUAUUACGUUGAUUUGCAACUUUACAUAUAUUUGAGCAGAUUCAUUAAAGUUGUGUAUCAAAGUUACCAAGGUAGCAAAUGGUCAGUAGCAGAUAGAUCAACUAAACUUAGCGGAAUAUAAUUGCUUGCAUAUAUUAUUAAAGCUACCAAGGUAGCAAAUGGUCAGUAGCAGGUAGCAAAUGGUCAGUAGCAGAUAUCUUAUUAAAGUUGAUUUGCAAUAAAAUGUGUGACUAAAGAUUAGACAAUAGUCACACUUAAAAUUAUAAAAUUAGACAAUAGUCACACUUAAAAUUAUAAAAUUUUGUGUGACUAUAAAUAACAAUUAGACACACCAUAGUCACCUUGUUUCUUGUUUGUGUGACGGAAUUAUACCAAACGUUAUGGGAAAAGAAGUUAUGUGUGACCAAAGGUUAAACAAUAGCCACAUUUAAAAUUACAAAAUUUCGUGUUGUUAUAAAUAACCAUUAGCCACAGCAUAGUCAUUUCUUUUUUGUUUGUGUGACGAAAUGAAACUAAACGUCAUGGGAAAAAUAAAUAUGUGUGACCAAAGGUUAGACAAUAGCCACAUUUAAAAUUACAAAAUUUCAUGUGACUUUACGUAAUCAUUAGUCACACCAUUGCCAUUUUGCUUAUUUUGGUGUGACGAAAGAUUACACAAUAGCCACAGUUAAAAUAAAAAAAACAAAAUCAUGUGGCUUUACAUAACUUUUAGUCACACCAUCCUUAUUUUGUUUUUUUAUGUGACCGAAUGAUAGCAUGUGUAAUGCACAAAAUCAACAUUCAUUUGACUUAAUGUGAAGCAAUUGUUUAUCAUACUAUUCUCUUCUUUGGAUUGUGUUUACAAAGUUUGUAUUCAUUUCCGCAGCACUUUUCACUGUUUAAUAUUCUCUAAAUGAUCAAUUUAUACAAACAAACACAAUCAUGAGAGCCUCCGAUCCUAACAAUUGGUAUCAGAGCUUAGACAGUCAAAUUCGAUCUAACAAUCAAUUUGACGUAACAGUUCAGCUCACAAUUCAUUAAUACUAAGGUUGGUCGUAUUUUAGUUGAAAAACAGAGUAACGAGAAAUCAUGUUCAAAGUGAUGACUCAAAAGCUCUGUAAAACAACCAAGAUGUCAUAAGAUUCACAAAUCUCAUACAGCUGGUGAUGUCAUGUACAAAUCACUCAUAGUUUCCAGAUCUGGAAACUUAUCUGGUAACUAUAGUAUGUUGAUCUUCAUUCAAAAUUGAUUUCAACUGCUGUUAUGAAAUCUGUGAUGUUUUCAUCAUAUUUUACACUAAAGUAUGCACCUCAGAUUAGCAAAACCUAUGUUCAUAUAAACACUAGUGUUCUACUAACAUAGAAAGGGGGAAAUAAAGCUUUAGUCAAAAUUUCUUAUGUGCUAGAAGGCAGGUUGAGAAUCCUCAAAAGGACCAAAUCAACUUUGUCAAAACACAUUAAGAAAAUAAGGUGUCAAAACAGUCCAAAUCAUACGUAAUGUGAGAAUUGGUAAUAAAACAUGUGCAAAUAUGGCCAGAUCUCUCAAAACAUUACUUCAAAAUGAUUAUGGACUAAGCUUCCUCAAAAUAAAACCUCCCUGUGAGUAUUUCUGUAUUGGUGAAUGGGAUGG